UGGGCAUAUAUCCAAAAGGUUGGUGAGU
rnacentral:piRNA from 1 species